GACGAACGCUGGCGGCGUGCUUAAUACAUGCAAGUCGAACGGAGCCUAGCCGGUAGUUUACUACAGGCGAAAGCUUAGUGGCGGACGGGUGAGUAACGCGUGGGCAAUCUGCCCCUAAGUCCGGGAUAACAGAGCGAAAGUUCUGCUAAGACCGGAUACUCUUCCUUGGUCGCAUGGCGGAGGAAGGAAAGGAUACGCUUAGGGAUGAGCCCGCGUCCCAUUAGCUAGUUGGUGAGGUAACGGCCCACCAAGGCGACGAUGGGUAGCCGGCCUGAGAGGGUGGACGGCCACACUGGGACUGAGACACGGCCCAGACUCCUACGGGAGGCAGCAGUAGGGAAUUUUCCGCAAUGGGGGAAACCCUGACGGAGCAACGCCGCGUGAGGGAAGAAGGCCUUCGGGUCGUAAACCUUUGUCAUCGAGGACGAUAAUGACGGUACUCGAGGAGGAAGCCCGGCUAACUACGUG
rnacentral:rRNA from 1 species